CAUCUAAAUUUAACUAUAAAACAUCUAUAUUUCACUACAAACACACAACCAUCACAAAAUUGUUGUAACAGGUAACCUCAGUUGUUGGAAAACAUCAACAAAAUUGCAAGCCUUUUUUUUCGAAACAACAAGGAGAAGAAGAACAAAAACAGCACCAAAAAUCAUAAUUUCACAACCACAACCACUAUUUACAAACUCACAAACCCCAACAAGUGCAACAAAUACAUGAAACUACAACAAAACAAACAACAUUCAAGAAAAACUCAUGCUCUUCUUCAUCUUCUCUAACCAAAAUCUUCAUUUUCACACUCUGAUUUCAAAACCCUAACUUUUGAACCAAGUGAAAAAAAAAGUUUACCUGAGAAUGAAUAGACAAGCAACAGCAGUGGAGAGAGAGAGAAAUGAGCAGCAGCAGCAAUGGAGAGAGAGGAACGAGCAACAACAAUGGUGGUCACCGGUCGCCGAUUUUUUACAGCAGCAACGGAGAGAGAGAGACAGAGAUGAACUGAAGAACUGCUCUUUUUUAAAAAAAAAAAAAAUGAAGUAGUUGGGGUCGUGGCGGAAGUGGGUUGGAAGGAAUUUUUGUAUAAUGUGUGUGGGUUGGAAGAAGUUUUUGUAUAAUGUGUAUGGACUUUUGUGUAUUUUGUAAAAGAUUAUAAGUUUUAAAAAUUAUAAUUCAAUCCCAAUUUAAGUUAAUCAUAUUUUUAAGACAAGUUUGACCAUGACACCAUUUCUAAUUAUAAGACUUUUUUGUCACCAUAAGUUAAAUCUUCCCAGAUUCAUAGUCAUUCUCUCCUCUUACGUUCUAUUGCGUUCAAAUAACUGGACUCUGCUCUCUCUUCUACCCUUUCAAAGUUUCAUGGAAAACUGAGGUAUUGAAAAUGACUUAAAUUUUGAAGUAGACUAUGCACAGAAGGUGUUUGAUGAUCUGUCUGUCACUGUAAAUCUGAAUUUUUUUACCAUGGCCAUCGUCAAUUGUACCUAUGUCAAUAAUUUUCUGGUUUGCUCAUGCAUAUUUCUGGAUACCUAGGUGCAAGCUUGGUGGAGAACUUAAAGCUGCAACUCUCCUACAGACUACAACAAAGUGGCAAACUGGAUUAUUUUUUGAUGACAACUUCAGGCAUUAUGGAACUUGGGAGCCAAAUAAGAUUAAAUAGAAGAAUUCUCAAUUGCGCCACAAAUUGGAAGAACUAAUUGUUGGAUCCAAAAUUGUAAGUGUAAUAGCUAUUCUUACUGGUAAAAGAAAGAGUGAGAAACUUGGCAAAGUUUCUCUAUCAUUGGGUUCAGCUAGAGAUAGUUGGUCUGGAUAAUUCAGGCAUAGCUGCUACAAGGGUUGUUCUUGCUUGGGAUGCUUCAGUUUGGUAAAUGGUUAACAUGAAAAUUUGGGACCAAUACUAGAGAGUUGUCUUUAGCUGGAAUUCUUCCCUCAAGCAGUGCAGUAAUGGUUACAACCCAGGCGAGUAGUUGUGGUCGCGAAACAAGUUGAGGUUUUUAUAAAAGAAUUUUUAUCAGAGCUGGCUGCAGGAGUGCUCGAGUUAUGGAGUUAGAUUGUCAUGUUGUCUGUCGGCUCAUAUCAAAGUGAUGAGGGGCAAGCAAAAGUUCUAUUUCUUUGAUAAAGUGGAAAGCUCUGGAUUGCAAUCAUUGCAAGAAAAAAACAUUUCCUUAAGCUUUGAAUUGGUUGACUAGGUCACCAUUAUGUGUUAUUUUAGACAUUUUCUUGCUGGGUGAUGAAGUGAUUGUAACAUGGACAAGGCAAACACGUGUCUCCAAGUAGUUGGGCAUAUAAUGGCCACAGAUAAAUUUAGUAGUAUUGAUUCUUAUGGCGGUAGAAUAUUGUUCCUUGGAUUGCAGUGAUGUUGACAUAAUUUAGUUCUGAUGGCUUAAUUAUCCUGUAACAAUUCAUUCGUUUAUUCACAUUUGGUACCCCAGGAACUGAUAUGCCCCGUCUUUUCCAACAUCUUAGAAGCCGAAGUUAAGAGGCAUAUCCAAACUUACUUAGGUG